CAGCAAUUUGUGCGUUUGGAAGCUCUCCCUCACGGUCCCUUUCCUGUUAUCGCUUUCGCCGCCUCAUCUUAGCUUCCCUUUUCUUUUUUCAUUUGUUUCUCAUUCUAGGUCAUAUAGUUGGAGAGGGAGAGAUUCAAGGUAUGACUAAGGAUCUGGAUAAGGAGCUUCGAAAGCUAAAUUGCAGAACGACGGGUGGAUUCAUAAAGUUGGUGCUUAUCGAAAGCAGAAAAUCAUUCUCUUUGUAAAUUUGCAUCAUUUUUAUCCUGCUGCUAACUUCUCCUAUGCAUUCUCUUCUCCGCUUUCAAUUUUUGUUCGGCUGUUACCUCUCCGAAGCUGACAAGAGCUAUCCAACAAAGAGUGCAGAGUUAAUAACUUGUAAGGCAUGCCCAAGGGUUUCAUAAUGUAGCAGGAGAAAAAGAACAUAGUGCAUACAUGUCAGAAGAGUUUUUUGAUGCAAAACUCAUACAUCUUGGCUAAUAUCAGGUACUAAAUUUAGUCAAUAAUUAAUGUCAGAUUAUCUAAUAUAAAUAUAUCCUAAUUUACAAUAACAUAUAUACUCCCAACAAGGUUAUUUUGAAAUAAUCGUUGGUUAUUUAAAUAACCCAAGAUCGAACAAGCCUUUGCAAAUCCACGCUAUGGUGAUUUUCAUGUUUAUUAUGCAUUCCAUUUAUAACAGAAUUACAAUAAAAUUGAAAAGCUAUGUUGAGCUGCAUUUUCAGUUUGUUUUCUUAUCUGAAUCGAUAAAUCAACCAACGAGCAGUGAAUCAAUGGCGGAGAAAAGCUUCAAAUAUGUCAUCCUAGGCGGCAACACUGGUUUAAGUUGCACAAUUUCGAUAUUAUCGUACUCUAAUUAAGUUUGAUAUAGGACGAAGAUAUCGAAUCCAUUGUAUACCUUAAUUAUGUUAUGCUCAGGUGAUAUCAUAUAUCAAUAUUUGUGUUGUAGUUAUGAAGGAGGAACGAGAGACUGAAAUUGGGCUUCCAACUGAUGUCAAACAUAUUGCACAUUUUGGCUUCAUAUGACUGAAAACUUUCUUAUUUCCACCAUAUUUUUUUGCUAACCCACCAAAAUGAAUUGAUGCAAUAUUGUAUUAUUAUUGUAGGGUUAUACUGUUAUAGAGUUCUAAAAGCAGGGUGUUAAGCAAGGUGAACUUGCAAUUAUUUUUAAAGAAGCGGUUGCUCCUUAUGAGCGUCCAACUCUUAGCAAGGGAUCCCUUCUUCCUGAGAUUAAGUUUUCAAAACUUCUAAAUCAUCAAAGUUGAAAAAUAUAACAACAUACAACUUCCAUUGGAACAUGAAAGACGGGCUUUACUUGGAUUGGUGUUAGAGCUACUUAUGCAGAAAUAGACCACAUGGCAAAAUCUAAUUACAAGUUGUUGAUCAAAUAUCAGGUCUAAUUGUGUGGUGGAGUUGGUGCCCUAAAAGUGGGAUUUAUUAAAAUUUUAAUGGAGUAAUGGUUGUUUUUAUAUUUUUAUAUGAUUAUUUUAGUAUACGAAAUUUGUCUUUUAUUUAAAAAAAAUUUAUUUAACUAUUAAUAUGAUUUUAAGA